rnacentral:lncRNA from 1 species
UCAGUUUAACCAGACCUACUAUGUAAGGGCAGAGCCAGCCGGAGCCUCAGUAGAGGGUGUAGAAGCCCCCGACACCCCACAUCCCAGAAACCCACGGCAAGAUUAGAGAAUUGUCGCACAUCUGGAAAGAUUAGUUUAAUCUAGAUAGUAAAAGAAGGAAUCGAAAAGGCAUGCUAGGAGUUUUGGUCAGUAAACCAUGCCAGGGACUGUACUCUCCAAAGCAGUGAUGGGGGCAUGAUCAGGAUGUGUUUCUGUGCACGAAGACCCUUCUUACUGUCUUCUUAGGAUGGUGAGAUGACUUCUUCCUCAGGCUAGCAGGAUUAUUUUUCCCCACCAUAACUCACUAGCACAUGGCUCCUAAAGCUUUGACAUUAACUCUAGCGGUUUGGAAAUGUGCCUGGAUCAUUAUACUGAAGGCUCCUCUUAUUUAUGUAACCUUUCAGAGUUCACAGAGGGCUACACACAGCACCUCAUGAAUAAAGGCAUCAUUAUCUCC